UGAGGAAUAUUGGUCAAUGGGCGAGAGCCUGAACCAGCCAAGUAGCGUGAAGGAUGAAGGUCCUACGGAUUGUAAACUUCUUUUAUACGGGAAUAAAGUAUCCUACGUGUAGGAUUUUGUAUGUACCGUAUGAAUAAGCAUCGGCUAACUCCGUGCCAGCAGCCGCGGUAAUACGGAGGAUGCGAGCGUUAUCCGGAUUUAUUGGGUUUAAAGGGAGCGCAGACGGGAGAUUAAGUCAGUUGUGAAAGUUUGCGGCUCAACCGUAAAAUUGCAGUUGAUACUGGUUUCCUUGAGUGCAGUUGAGGCAGGCGGAAUUCGUGGUGUAGCGGUGAAAUGCUUAGAUAUCACGAAGAACCCCGAUUGCGAAGGCAGCUUGCUAAACUGUAACUGACGUUCAUGCUCGAAAGUGUGGGUAUCAAACAGGAUUAGAUACCCUGGUAGUCCACACGGUAAACGAUGGAUACUCGCUGUUGGCGAUAUACUGUCAGCGGCCAAGCCGAAAGCAUUAAGUAUCCCACCUGGGGAGUACGCCGGCAACGGUGAAACUCAAAGGAAUUGACGGGGGCCCGCACAAGCGGAGGAACAUGUGGUUUAAUUCGAUGAUACGCGAGGAACCUUACCCGGGCUUAAAUUGCAGACGAAUUACGAGGAAACUUGUAAGCCGCAAGGCGUCUGUGAAGGUGCUGCAUGGUUGUCGUCAGCUCGUGCCGUGAGGUGUCGGCUUAAGUGCCAUAACGAGCGCAACCCUCGUGGUCAGUUACUAACAGGUUAAGCUGAGGACUCUGGCCAGACUGCCAUCGUAAGAUGUGAGGAAGGUGGGGAUGACGUCAAAUCAGCACGGCCCUUACGUCCGGGGCUACACACGUGUUACAAUGGGAGGUACAGAAGGCAGCUACCCGGCGACGGGAUGCCAAUCCCCAAAACCUCUCUCAGUUCGGACUGGAGUCUGCAACCCGACUCCACGAAGCUGGAUUCGCUAGUAAUCGCGCAUCAGCCACGGCGCGGUGAAUACGUUCCC
rnacentral:rRNA from 1 species